GCGCGGCCCGGCCCGGCCGCCGCUACAGAGCCGAGCGCGGGGCGGGGACGGGGGCGAAGCCGGCGCGGCGCCAUCUUGUGCGGCCCCGCCGCCGUUAACCGCUUGCGCGCCGGCAGCCCGGCGAUGCCUCCGCUGCGAGCCUCCCCCUCCCCCUCCUCUCCGAGCCUCCCCCCGCCCAGCUGGGGCCCUCGGGGCGUAUUCGGGUCCUGUUUAUAUCGUGGGGUGGGAAUAAAGAUGGUUGUGUGAGGGAAGAGGUCUUGCGUGUCUUCUUGUUGGUGCAAAGGGCGCGUGUGGAAAGGUCGCGCGGGCUCAGGGGCAGUAGUGCAAAGCAGCUUUAAGGUUAUUAAUCUACGCCGCACUGCACAAAUAAGGCCGUGAUUGGAAAAGGAAAGUGAGAGGUGAAUUAUUAACUGUAAAGCCAACAGGACUUCAGUGUGCUUGUUGGACCUGACCUCGCACUUCAGGUCAGCGGCCUGCUGUCCGUGUUUGUGCGGCACUUUGUGCAGGAGGCCUCCGAAAGGAGACGCCGUCUGUGAGCCAUCCUGUGUGAAGGAUGGUGCUGCUGCGGUCGUCUGGUGUGCCCAGGGCUCACGGCAGCCCACCGGGUCCUGGACCACCUGUGCCACGCUCCAUGGGACCACAAACACCAACACACCCAACCGGCCCCCAAACCACCCCUCAAGGCGGCAUAAACUCUUGCAAUUUGGGAAGUGCCGAGGCUGAAAAUGCCAUUGAAUCCAACAAAGGAUUAUAAAGAAGAAGGAGACUCAGAUGAUGCAUAGCCCUUCUUUGCAGUGCUUUUUGCUGGCAGAACUGUGAUGUAUCUCCAGACCUUGGCAUCUAUGUCAUUUACCCCUACCAACUUACAUAUCCCCAAUUAACACAGAUAGUUAAUCAAUGAAAUGUGCUAAAAAGUGAUUCAAUAAGUGCUUAUUUUACAGAGCAAUACAAACAUCAACAGCUGUCAACAAAAUGGUAAGUAAUAAAAGAAGUAAAUUAUAGGUUAAGAGAUGUGAA
rnacentral:lncRNA from 1 species